ensembl:antisense 1700113A16Rik RIKEN cDNA 1700113A16 gene
ACGUGGCAGCUCAUGUCCUAAAUAGGAGUAGUCCUGGGCCGCUAUCCUGUGAGGGUGGAGACGCUCCCCGAGACUGGACAGACACCGAGAGGUGGAGCUGAGCCAAUACGAGGCUAAGGGAAUUCCAUGUAUUCCAGUUAUCCUGAGCUCACGUACAGCAGAGGAUACCCCCGAGUUUCACCGCCAUCUCUUACUAGGAUUCCAGGUGUGUGGCACUGCCUCUUGAAGUAUUAAGCGCUGAGUGAAGUGUGAGCCCAGGACUUCUUGCUUGCUGGGCUGUCCCAUCCCUGUGCCAUCUCUGCAGCCCUUGGAGGAUCCCUUUCAAGGCUUCUACCUGGAGCAACUGCCCACAGUUCUGCCUUAAGAGUGCCUGAGAGACCUGGCAUCUCACAGCCUGCCCUCCAAAUCAUCACUCACUCUGCCAGGCACACCAGGUCUUCCUCCCCUUCCUCGCCGCACCAAAGAAAUCAAAACCCAAACUGAGGUAUCAGAAACAUGUUUUUUUUUUUUUCUUUUAAUAGUAAACCUCUUUACAACAAAUAUAGUGAAAGAGUUUUCAAACC